rfam:Spirochaetes bacterium RBG_13_68_11 RBG_13_scaffold_10214, whole genome shotgun sequence.
CUCCAGGUCAUACGCUAUGGGCUGCCGCGGAACCCCGUCAGGACCGGAAGGUAGCAGCGGUACGCGGCGUGUCCAUGAGCCGUAACCGGCUUGAAGGGA